rnacentral:ribozyme from 1 species
UGCCCAACAACUCCUAUCCCAACCUCCUCGUGGUACUGGCCAGGGUACGAGUAACCUUAGGGAAGACCGUGUAACCAACCCCGGUGGGAGCUUUGGUCAUCUGCUGACAGAGAAGG